GGGUGUGAUUCACGUUGAGGGUUUCAAAAGAGGUUAUUCUCCCUGUCUACUCUGUUUUGGUGGCACCACCUGGAGAGCUGCAUCCAACAUAAGAGGGAUGUGACUUGUUGGAAUGAGUCCAGAGGAGGCCCCAAAGAUGAUCAGAUGUCUGGAGCACCUCACUUAUGAGGCAUGGCUCAGGGAGUUGGGGUCUCAGCCUAGAAAAGUGAAGGCUCUGGGGAGACCUUGUAGCACCCCUCCAGUAGCAAAACAGGCUACAAGAGACCUGGAAAGAAGUCUAGGAUUAAUUUAUCGGAUGAUGUGAGAUAUUGCCCAUUACCCACCAGCUGGAAAGGACCAAAGCAUUCAACAACUGGUUCUCAAUGGAUUCAUUGUAUAUGACCACAAGACUAUAAAACAGCAAAGUUUCUAAAAUCAUGCCAAAAGCACAGAAGGAGGCUGACAUCUGUUCAAGGUGGUCCAUGCAGAGGUCAUGGCCAAACUGAGACACCUUACUGCAAAGCUGCUCUGUAACCUACUAGUGCCAUCUUGCUUGGCCACCCUACUGGGAAUUUCCAAAGAACUGACUUGCAAACAGGUCUUUCUACAGGGCAUUCACCCAUACCACAUGUCAACUCAGAGGCUGACCCAGCUCAAAAGACCUUUAUUAUGACACAGACCCAAAUAUCCUAUGACAAUUGCCUUAAAAUAAAAAACUGGGUCAUUCCUGCAGUCAUAUUCAUGUGAGUGAUUGUUAGGCACUGAGGUAAGUGUCAUUACAGGAAUGGACUAUUUUCAUGAGCAAGUGUUUAAAGCUCUCUCCUCAGGAAAGUUGGUGCAUCACUUCAGCUUCUCUCUUCUUCUCACAGGGCCUCUGUUUGGUGUAACAUUGUAUACCUGAACUAUAAAGCCCACCUUUCAUGUGGUCUAUUCAGUUUUCCAAUUGACUUUUAAAGAUCUUUGUCUAAAGACGCCGUAAGAGAUUUGAACUCUGUCAGGAAUGCCCCCUGUGAGUUCAAAUCACACUACUUUACCCACUAGGCUCAUUACAAAAAGCAAGUUGGACCUAUGGCUUUCUGAAUUCACCUGAGAAGCUAAGAUUGGACCACAAUAAAGAAGGGCAGUGUAGUUCUCUUGAACUACAGGCCCAGGUACAGCUCUGUUAACAUCCUCAGGAGUUAUUGUAUCUAUAGAUAGAAG